GACGAACGCUGGCGGCGUGCUUAACACAUGCAAGUCGAACGGAAAGGCCCUGCUUUUGUGGGGUGCUCGAGUGGCGAACGGGUGAGUAACACGUGAGUAACCUGCCCUUGACUUUGGGAUAACUUCAGGAAACUGGGGCUAAUACCGGAUAGGAGCUCCUGCUGCAUGGUGGGGGUUGGAAAGUUACGGCGGUUGGGGAUGGACUCGCGGCUUAUCAGCUUGUUGGUGGGGUAGUGGCUUACCAAGGCUUUGACGGGUAGCCGGCCUGAGAGGGUGACCGGCCACAUUGGGACGGAGAUACGGCCCAGACUCCUACGGGAGGCAGCAGUGGGGAAUAUUGCACAAUGGGCGGAAGCCUGAUGCAGCAACGCCGCGUGCGGGAUGACGGCCUUCGGGUUGUAAACCGCUUUCGCCUGUGACGAAGCGUGAGUGACGGUAAUGGGUAAAGAAGCACCGGCUAACUACGG
rnacentral:rRNA from 1 species